CACUGAGCUGUGCACUCGCCCUGACCCACAAUCCGUCACCUUCCCUCACCCCUGGGAAAACUUGAGAUGGCGGAAAAGCAGCUAACAGAAACACUAAACGGGUGACUGAGCAGAGAGCCGUGCGCGUGGGAGCCAUGAAUUCACAGAGCACUCGAGAGGCUGAGAAGGAGGAUCACAGGUUUGAGGACAGCCUGGGCUGUGGAGCAACAAGUUCAAGGCCAGCCUGGACCAUAUAGUGAGACCUUGCCUCAAAAAACCAAACCAAACACAACAACGCCUAUAAGACAUGACGCGAGGUGAGCAGAACAGGCUCAGAGACACCCUGGGCCCCGACGGGAACCUGUGAACAGGAGACCUUACAUGGCCAAAAG
rnacentral:lncRNA from 1 species